GAAUCUCUCCAAGGCAUCCAUACAACUUCAGACUCCUCAACAGGGGAGGAGGAGAGGAGACAUCAUGCAGCCACUCGAGUGAACCAUCCACCGAAAGGGAGCUUCUGAAUGGCAUCACCGAGUUCCUUGCAUUUCUGCUUGGUGGCCCCUUCUGUUAGCACGCUCAGUUUUUUCAGCUGCACAAGCCAACCUAGCUCUUUAAUUGCCUUGCCACUAGUUCGGCUGAUGUCCACAACUUCUAGGAUUUGCAGCUCUUUCAGUUUACCCAUUCCUUUUGGCACACUCACACCUUCUGACUUUGACCAACGGCUAGACCAUGCCAUGUGUAGCUCAGCAACUACCUCGGUGCGCUCACUAGGAUCAACCAAAGGUGUGAACAGAAUGGGCACAACAAAUGUGACCAGCAAGCAAUUCUUGGGGCCACCCAAGUCAAAAAAGUAUUGAUAUGAAUUAUUUCUGCUGCAACAGAGACUGUGUAGACUCUUGAGUUUACAAAUCUCAUUUGGCAGUUCUGUAAUAUAACUGUCCCUAAAGUUCAAAGUGCGCAAGCCUUGUAAUCUCCCUAUGGAUCUAGGAACUUUAUAAAUAUGUGAAUAUCCUCGAGGAUGAGAAAAAUUCAGAUACUUCAAGUGGCGAAACAAUCCUAUGUUGCUGAUAUCCUUUUGUGUGACUUGAAACUGUGCAUUCUCUAGAUCCAAGACCCGGAGCAUUCUCAUGUCAGAUGAACAAACUGAAGGUGAUGGACCCAAUGAUCUCUCACCAAACACAGUUACUGACCGGACAUGGCUCCAAUCCAUGCCUAAUUUUGGGCACUUACUACCAUUGUAUGCUACAUGACGAAAGUUCCCCUCUGAUACAAUAGUUGCAUUAUCUCCUGCCAAAUACACAAAAUUUUCUUCCCUGGAUAUCGAGACCAUCACAUCACGCAUGAUAUCAUGGACUCGACAACUCUUAACAUGUCCUUCUAUGCUCACUUUUGAGGGCUGAAUCAUGCUUCGGUUGAUUAGCUCAGUGAAAUAACUUAUUCCAACAUCUUCAAUGUUUUUUUUUGAGAAUGACUACCCAAAUACACGAACCAUCUACAUGGAACAUUCAGAUAGCAUGAGCGAGCGAAGCCUUUCCGGCACAUUCGCGAUGAUCAGCGAGUCUCCCUCUCGCCUUCCCCACACAGCUAGCUCAUGGGCCAGCUUGUUCUUGCACCUUUUGACCGCUUUGAUCCUGAACGUGUUGAAAUUUCUCGCCGUGCUCUUAAUGUCGCUGACAACUGAGAAACAUGCAGAGCGAUUUGGGCACCCCAUCUCCAGUUCCUUUGCAAUCAAACUGCAGUCAGUCUCAACGAUCAGGUCACCCUGGUACAUGGCCAAUAGUGUUGUGAUCCCCAUCAGGAUGGCAUGUCCCUCUGCUUCUUCCACAGAGCUGCAUUCCCUCAUCGCCCUGCUCACGGAGAAGAGAACCCCACCCUGGUGGUCUCUGGCCACAGCCCCGGCCCAGCAUUGGCCCGUCCCUGGGAGGAAGGCCGCAUCUGUGUUUACUUUAAUCACACCAAACGAUGGCUUCUCCCACAGAAGGGAUGUAUCUACACUCGACUGAUCCCGAGGUUUUGGUUAUCCGAAGACUGACAAAGAGCCACUGCAUUUCCCGUUAGUCCGAUCAUCCAGUGACAGAUUCUGUAAUUCCCUCUCGUACCCAAUCAGGAACUGCACCGAUCUCGAUACAGAUUCCUUACCCUCAUGAUGCACACAAUCAUCACGUAAAAACCAGGCACGCCACAGUAGAAGUAGGAUUUUGAUCCUCAUCUCUGAAUCAUUUUUGUCUAACAACACCUGAAGCCAGUCUCUCCCAGUGUACCCGAACUCAUGUUCAUUCGGUAUUCCCCACACUUUCCGCAUAGCAAACCUCAAAGCCCUGCUCUUUGUGCAUAUUAAGACCGCGUGGAAUUCGUCCUCUUCCCCAUGUCCACAUAAAUCACAUACGCUGUCAUGGACAAUCGUACGUUUGAAUUUAUUCAUCUUAGUUGCGAGUGUUCCUGUAGCGAUUCUCCACCCCAAAAUCUUUAUUCUCUCAGGGAUUUUCAUUUUCCAUAUGACAUCCCAAAUACUUCUAUCUCCUGCAUCUGAGGUAGAGGACGAUGCACCCACGGAUGUGUUACGAUCCAGACUAGCCGCUAGCUUAUACGCACUUCGAACUGUGAAAAUACCAUUUUUCUCAUAGUGCCAGGCAAUACAAUCGUCCACUUCUGCCGAAGGAUUAUUUAUCUUUAGGAUUUCCUCUGCAUCAAAAGGAUAGAAGAUGUUGCUGACCAGUUCCCGAUUCCAACCUUUGGUCUCCGGAUUAAUUAGCUGGUUUACCCACCGGAGUCUAGAUCUUCUCCUAAAGCUCGCUACCCUCAAACCCUCCUUCCGUGGGAUCCAUUGGUCACGCUGAAUCUGAAUGCGUUUUCCAUUUCCCACUCGCCACACAAGUCCUUUUUUCAGCAACUCCAGGCCAUGCUCUAUGCCUCUCCAAACCGGUGAGGCGUCGGAGGAAAAAACAGUAUCAAGAAGAUCACCUUUAGGAAAAUAUUUUGCCUUGAGGAUUCGAGUGCACAAACUCUCUGGAUUUUGAAUGAGCCUCCAACCCUGCCUCGCCAGUAACGCCAGAUUGAAUAGAUGCAUAUCUCUAAAACCAAUUCCACCCGCUCUUUUCGGUUGGGUCAUGCGUUCCCACGGCAUCCAGUGGACCUUCCUAUGGCCAUCCUCAUCACCCCACCAGAAAUCCCUGAUAAUUUUUCAUACUUCUCACAUAAGCCCUUUGAUAACAAGAAAACGCCCAUAAUGAAGGUGGGGAUAGCUUGGGCGACCGACUUGACAUGUACCUCUUUGGCAGCGUAAGACAUGAACCUCUCAUUCCAACUGUUGCAUCUCUUUCCAAGUUUGUCUAAGAUCGGUUGAAAAUUCUCGUCUUUUAUUCUCCCUUCCGGAGUUGGUAGUCCCAAAUACUUGCUCUCAAAAGUGGAUGUUUCUACUUCCAGCACCUCUUUGAUACCCUCUCUCACAGGUUCAGGGCACUUCUCACUGAACAAGAUGGAACACUUACUUGAGCUAAGAAGUUGACCGGUGCAUCUCUCAAAAAUAUUCAGCGCUCUCCUCACUGCUCUCGCUUGGUCCACUGUUCCCUUGAAGAACAGCAAGCUAUCGUCAGCAAAAAGCAGGUUUGAGAUGCCCGGACUAUUCCUUGCUACUUUGAUUGGUGUGAUCUGUCCACCUGCCACCUCUCUGUUUAACAGCUUAACCAAACCGUCUGCAACGAAUAAGAAGAGAUAUGGGCUAAUUGGAUCCCCUUGGCGGAGGCCUUUGGAUGGUGAAAAGAAUUUUGACAAUUCCCCAUUGCAUUUCACUGAAAAUCUGACCGAUGUCACACACUCCAUGACCCACUUAAUCCACUUCGUACAAAAGCCAAUUCUGCCUAAGACCUAUUCAAGAUACCCCCAGUCCACUCGAUCAUACGCCUUUGCUAGAUCCAAUUUAUAGGCACAGUGAGUAUCAUGCUGGUUCUUGCUAUGCUGUAUUUUAUGAAAGCAUUCAAACGCUAUGAUUGCAUUAUCUGUAAUCAUCCUCCCCGGAAUGAAAGCACUCUGGGUCUCUGACACUAUAUCAUUUAGUACCGGUCUCAGUCUAUUUGCAAGACACUUGGAAAUGAACUUGUACACGAUGUUGCACAAACUGAUAGGACGGAAAUCUUUCAACGUCUGUGGGUCAUUUCCUUUAGGGAUUAGUACAAUGACGGUGUCAUUUAUCCCCUCUGGUAGGACUCCAUUUUCAAAGAAAUGUAGUACGGCAGCCACCACGUCCUCCUUUAGGACAGCCCAGUUCCGUUGGUAAAAUCGGGCCGGGAAUCCGUCCGGUCCCGGAGCUUUCAGUGGCCCUAUCUGGAAGAGUGCGUCACUAAUCUCCUCAGCCGUGAACUGUUUUGUUAGUUGAUCAUUCAUAUCAUCCCCGACAGUACGUUGUGUCAGCUCUAUGAGUUCAAAGGGUGCCACCCCUGGAUCCUUGGUGUACAGGUUCUUGAAGAAUUGUGUAGCUAGUUUCUCAAUCCAUUUACUGUCCUCCACCCAGUUUCCCUCUUCAUCCUUCAAUUUUGAGAUAGAGUUCUUCUUCUUUCUCCAUGUAGCAUUUCUCUGAAAAUAUUUCGUGUUGCGGUCUCCCUCCUUCAGUUCUGUGACUCUCGACCUUUGCCUCCACAUCAUCUCCUCUCUCAGUAGUAGCUCAUCUAGUACCUUCGACAGUUUCUUGAUGUUGUGCUGUUGGUGUGGGGAGGGGGCGCCGACCAGAGGUAGCUCAGCUGUUUCCUAACCUCUGCUGUCUUUUUAAGAACUGAGCCAAAAUCCUUCGCUGCCCACUGCCGUAGAUCUGACUGCAUCGUAACCAAUUUUGCACCCAGGUUUUGAAGUGUGUCUGCUGUCCCUACCUUCUUCCAUGAGCUCUCAACAGAUUUGCUUAAAGAAUCCACUCUCUCCCACAUAUACUCAUACCGGACAGCAGGAACCCGUGUCUCAUUUCGUGGUCUCCAUUCCAACCGAGGGCCGAACCUCACUAACAAAGGGAGAUGGUCAGAUCGUGAUGAGCAGAUAUGUUCAACCGAUGCAUGCUGAAAGAUAUCGCUCCAGUUCGAGGACGCCACUCCUCUAUCCAGGCGUGCUUUCACGUUCCUUUGGCCCUCCUGUUUGUUGUCAAAAGUCCACAACGGUCCUUUGAAACCAAGGUCAAAGAGGCCACAUUCAGAGAGAACAACACGGAAAUUCGACAUAUAUCUUUCAGACCUGGGUGUAGAAGAGAUAUGUUCUUCUUGCCACAUAGUCUCAUUGAAGUCGCCGACCGCAAACCACGGUGCAUCAGACACAGGUUUUAUUCUUCUUAGGAGGUUCCACAUAUGGUGCCUUUCAUGACCUUUUGCCUCACCAUACACAAAGGUUGCACGCCACUGCUGGCCAUGAGCGUUCAAGCGAAUCAACACAUCGAUGUAGCGCAAACCCACGGCAAGUUUUAUUACCUCCACACUCUCAUCAUAAUACAAGGCAAUGCCAGCUCCUUUUCCUAUGCCGGCAUGGGUGAUGCAGUGUUUCAGGCCUAAUCUCCAUCUUAGGCUGCUUACAUAUUUAUUUUUCUGCCGUGUUUCCGAAAGAAAAACGAGCUUUGGCUUGUAGGUGUGCACUAGACACACCAAUUCCUGAACUGUCCGGGGUUGCCCGAGACCCCGGCAGUUCCAACUGAGGAGCGUCAUGGCUCCUGGUGGACGCCGCCUUUAGCGUCCACCAGGGUACCGGCAGCCCCAUGGCCGGUUGCUUCCUUGCCCUUUGCCUCGCCCUCGUCCACUCCGUUGACAGCCCCCUUCUUCUUCUUGUACUGUUCUGCGAUUGCCCCAUCCUGUUCUGAUGUCGGGUCCUCUGUUGCGUCUGCACCGCGGACGCCCCUCUUCCCCAGGAUCGAAGCCCGGUGGCCGCCUCCUCCUGAGACGUGUCCACCUGUUUUCCCCUCCUGCACNNNNNNNNNNNNNNNNNNNNNNNNNNNNNNNNNNNNNNNNNNNNNNNNNNNNNNNNNNNNNNNNNNNNNNNNNNNNNNNNNNNNNNNNNNNNNNNNNNNNNNNNNNNNNNNNNNNNNNNNNNNNNNNNNNNNNNNNNNNNNNNNNNNNNNNNNNNNNNNNNNNNNNNNNNNNNNNNNNNNNNNNNNNNNNNNNNNNNNNNNNNNNNNNNNNNNNNNNNNNNNNNNNNNNNNNNNNNNNNNNNNNNNNNNNNNNNNNNNNNNNNNNNNNNNNNNNNNNNNNNNNNNNNNNNNNNNNNNNNNNNNNNNNNNNNNNNNNNNNNNNNNNNNNNNNNNNNNNNNNNNNNNNNNNNNNNNNNNNNNNNNNNNNAGGGACAAAGCCCGGUGGGUAGGCCAACUUCUCAGGUGUAGCAUAUGCAUCACCAUCCAACUCUUCAGCAGCCCCAGGCAAGGUUGGUGUAGAGCCCAGUUGCAGCUCGCCUUUUAUUCAGUGCCUCCCUCUCCUGCGUGCCAUUCUCUCCAUUACCUGGCUUGAUCAUGUGUCCACUUUUGCUGUCAUCCCCCACCCUCACAGCUCUGGCAGCUGCGAUUGCCUCCUGUACCAUCGGGUCAGCCAUGAUCUCCUCUAUUAUUCCUAUAUAGCAGGCCAAGGUCUGCUUCUUCGCCUCCCCCUUUGCCUCAUCUUCGCUUGCAGAGCCAAAACUGAGAAAACAACGAGCCCCUCCUACCUCUGGGACUAUGACCCCACUCAAGUUGUUACUCUUUUUGAACGGAGAGGCGCGCAUUGCUGCCAUGAACCUCAUUGUUUGGAGGUUCUCCGGCAGCUUACAAUCGCGUUGGCCAUGUCCGACUCGCCCACAAUACGCACAGAAGCGCGGGGCUCUCUCGUACUUAACUUCUAAGAUGUGCAACUCUUUCUCUUCCUCUCCACUCUCAGCUAAUACUCUUGUUUUGAUGUUACGGGAGAGUGGUUCAUCUACAUCACGCUUAACCCUAACCCUGAUAAACUCAUUGCGGAUUCUACCCCUCUUAUCAGUAUCAACCUCCAGGACCACACCUAGAAUAGCUCCUAAUUUCUCACCGACCUCUUUGGACAGCAUGAGUGGGGGAACAUCAUAUAUCUGGGCCCAUAUUGGCAUGUGGGCGAUCUCCACUUCGCCCGGGGCAAUGGUGCCGUCCACCCGGACGAUGAGGAAGGCAUCGCCGCGGUGAGUCCAGGGGCCGUUGUCGAGGAUGAAACGCAGGUCGCCUUCCCUCUCGAACUCCAGCAUGUACCUGUUGUUCUUGAGCUGUGUGUAGUGGAGUCUGCCGCGCAGCCCCCACUUGUCCUUGAGCUCCUUGAACAGGCCAGCAGCGCUGAAGGCUUGCAUCGAGAAGAACAAGCCCACCGCGAGCCACCUCGUACGCAUCAUGGCCCUCUCUCUGGAAAGGUCCAGCACCACCACGCCGGCCCCCUGGUCCUCCCUUGUCGCACGUCCGUUGGCCUUGGACGAGCUCCCCCGCAGCAGCUUACGGUUGCCACCGUCGCCAUGGUCGCACGAGGCAACCUCCUCAUGCUCUUGCAUCGCCGCCUUACCGCUCUUUCCCUGUUGGUUCGCCAAGGAGGUGGAGUUGUGUUUGUUGCUACAAAGGAUUUGUGAAGAUGUGGGGAGGCUGCUGUCCAAUUUAUAAGAUUCCUUUUGGCCGCUCCCAUCCUCUGAUGUUGAAAGUCUGAAUGGCCUGAUCUGAUCCCCUUCCAUCUCCAACCUCAUGUGGAUCGGUAAUUGCUUUGUUUCCUCUCUCCCACGAUCUGGUGGAUCUCCUGGUUCCUGAUUUUGGGAACUACCCUUAACGCUCAAGAUACAUACCCCAGGAUUCUGGAGUAGUUCUUCUCUCAUCCUCCGUAGCCGAUUCCCGAUUCUUUCCAGAGUUGGAUACUCCUCCGAUUUCUGAUUUUUAUCCACUUCAUCGAGAAAAUUGGCUAUUUGCCACUUUCAAUAUGGGGCUUCGCACAAAUGCCACUGUCAAGAUUGACUUCGUAAGAAUGCCACCCAGCUCAUGUAUACUUUGAUUAACUUGCCAUUUUUCCUUUUCUCAUUGCUUUUCUUUUUCUUUUCCAUUUUCUGGCACCUGAAAGGACCAAAGUGCCCUUGGACCUUUCAACCUUAUCCGAUGCGUUUGUAGGCUGGCUGGCUCGUCAUGUCGCUGAUGCUUGGCCGAGCAACCACAGGUCGCCGCCGUUGCUCGCCCACACCUGCGUGCGCCACCGCAGCUCGCCUUGACCACGCCCGUGUGCGCAUCCGCUGGUCGCCGCAGGUACUCGCCCGCGCCUACGGCCUACCGUGCCCGCGCAGCUCACCAUCACCUUGCCGAUGCCUGCACGAGACACUGCAGCACGCCGCCGGUGCUCGUGCACGUCUGCACGUAACGGCGCAGCCUCGCGGAUGCCUGCGCGAGCCACCACAGCUCGCUGCCAGUGCUGGCCCUGUGGCCCACGCCAGCGCAGCUCGCCCUCCCCUUCGCGCAUUGGGGUAGUUUGUCCCGAGAGCCAAGACAUACGACGGCAGCGUUGAACAGCAGCUCCAGUGGCGUGAUGCCAGCACCGGCUGGAGGAGAUGGAUGCGUGUACAUGUUCUGAAGACGGGAUGCAAGCAACCUGUAAGUGACGUUUGCUCUAAUCCUUUACUUGAAUCUUGCAUUGCAAUUUGGCAAUUACAUGUAUCUAAUCAUAGUGUAUGUAAAGAUAGGAAAAAGGAAUUGCAGUCAGAGGAGAGUGUACGUUUGCCUUCCACAAAUACAAUCACAGAUACAAUGAAAGCGUCGCCGAGGAGAUCGGCGGCACGCAGCGUCGACGAAAUCGGCGGCAGCGAGAAGAUCAGUGUCACGCGGCGUCGAGGAGAUGGGGGCGGCGUCCAGAGGUUGACGCAAGACGUGGAUACGGCAAGCACGUUAUUCUCGUCUGUUUCAAGUGCGCUGAUUAGAUGCAAGUACGUAUUGAUAACAACAGGGGCAGCUUAGUCUUUUCUGGUGCCUGUAAAUGGGAAAAGAAAAAGGGAAAUCUGUAAAAGGGUUGGAAUGGCAUGUUAAUCAAAGUACAUAUGAGCUGAGUGGCAUUUUUACUAAGUCAAUCUUGACAGUGGCAUUUGUGCGAAGCCCCAUAUUAAAAGUGGCAAAUAGCCAAUUUUCUCCCACUUCAUCAUGGCCGCUUGACCGCCUUGAUUUCUUUUCCACCAACUUGCAGAGCGCCUGCCUGGUUCGGAGCCAAGAAUCCCUGAGACCCAGGGGAUCGCGAUGGCUUUCCUCCUCUCUCUUGAUCUCCCGAUCCCUCUUUCCUUCCUCCUGAAUCCUGAUCGUAGUCGCAUCUCUCGUGGUUUUCUCCUCUACGGAUGAUCGCCCUCGAAUCGCCCCAUCACGGGGAGCCUCAUUCCUCUUCAAUGUUUACUCCACCUCUGGCUCUAACAAACCCCUCUUCUAUCCAUCUAUCUACCAAACGCCUCCUUUUGAAUUCAAAAUCCUCAGGAAAGAUGCUUAGAUACAGAAAGCAUGACUUGAGAUGAGACGGCAAGUUAUUGUAGCUUAGAGUAACUAUCCUCCUAAUUGCUUCUAGGCUAGGGUUGCUCUCAAGCUCUGAUGGGAUUUGUGUAUAGAUACUUUCCCACUCCGUUGCCUUUUUGUUGCCAAGCAUGCCUCCUAUAGUGAGUAUAGCCAGCGGUAGACCACCACACUUCUUUACUAUUUUGUUGACCACUGACAUCAUUUUCUGAUCAUUUUUCAUGUUUUCUCGUGUUUUUCCACUCUUUCUAAGUAGCAAAUUUGUGGCAUCCUCUAUUUGCAGGUGCUUAAGGUGGUAGAUAAGUGUAACAUCUUAAAUUUUCAAUUUGGAAUGCUAUACAUUAGAUCAUCAUUGCAUAUCAUAUUUUAUUUGCUUUUGGUCUUGAUCCUAGAAAUUUUACACAACUCAAGGACCCACGGAGAGAGUUGAGGAUUUCGUUAUUUUCAUAUUUGAGUUCUCUCAAAUUUUGAGAAUAGGAUCAUUUGAUUUUACUUAUUUUAUCUUCAAUUAUUUCUAUUACAAAAAUAUGAGAGGGGGAAUAAAAUGACUUUCCCAAAAUAAAGAAAUAUUGAGGAUUUAAUAAUAAAAUCAAAUAAGAUUUUUUUCGGAGUUUUUUGAUAUUUUUAUUUGAAUUUAGGAAAAAUAUGCGUUUUUCAAAAUUGCAUUUAGGCCCCAAAUAAAUGUUCACUUUGUCCGGCUUGAUUUUAGCAGUCGGGGAAAAUUUAUUUCAAGAUUUUUCAAGUCCGUUUAGUAUUUCUUUUAUUUGUUUUUCGGUGCGUAAUUAUUAAAAAAAGUCCGAACCGACUCCGGGCCGUACCCGAGCGGGACUCCGCCCAGGGCAGCCUUUAAAUAGCGCCGCCCGAGCCCCGCCAAAGCCCAUCAGCCGCCGCCGCAGCCCACCCGCGCCUAACCCUAACCCUAGCGCCGCCGCCGCCCGCGCCGCCGCUCGCCGGACCCGCCGCCCGAGGUAGCCGCCGUCGCCGACGGUUUUCUAUAGAAAACUGCCCGUUUUUUUAAAGCCACGGUUUAUUUUUUUUAGAUUCGUUUUUUAUUUAGAUCGGUUUUAUUUCGGUUCAUUCUAUUUAGCGAGCGUUCGCUCGAUCCGUUAACGAACGUGUUCGUCGUUUAGAUCCAGAUAACAAACGUCCAUUCGUUAACUUGUUCGUCGUUUUUCUUUUUUCUCGGAUUUUCCGCGAUUAUUUCUGAUCGCGAUUUCUGAUCCGAUUUUCGUUUUAGUAUAACUUUUCGCUCGUUUAUCGGAGUCAGGCGAUUCAAGCGACUGGAGUUUUGUAUCGAAGCCCUCUUUCCGUUUAACAAACUUAAACAAGUUUUUGUUUCCGUAAAAAUUGACUUAGGUCCAGAUUAGUAAAACGAAGUUGUUUUCUUUCGCCAUUUGACUUUUGUUGCUUCGUUUGAUUUGAUUCUUUUUGCAAACCGGAGUUCUUAAGUUGAACUUUCCGGUUAGAUCUCUUAUUUAAGUUUUACCUGUGCAUUAGAUGAGUACUUAUUGUAUGUUUGUUUGUUUGUCUGCGAUAGAAUACCCGGAGUGCGCCGCCUGUUACUUCGAAUCUCUAGGUUUCGCGGAUCGUCAGCAAGGCAAGUAACACUUUGAUCAUACAUUUCUACUACCCAAUUUUAUUGCAUUAGAUCAAUCGUCAAACAUUGCAUGAUUAGGAUCUAAUCAAAUUAUGGGAUGCGAAGUAGUUCAGGUAGUACCUAUUACCUGUUUUAUUUUCAAACCUUUGGGAGUUACUUCUACGUUUGCUUAUUAUGCCAUGCUAUGCUAGUAGACGUGGAUUGGGUGAGUGAUAUCUAUGACAGAUAUGAGAUUGUUAAUUAAUGGUUUAUCUAAGGUGGCAACUUAAACACACAUCUGGAUGGAUUGAGGUACCUGGGUAUUCCAGGAUUGCCUGUUUCUUUUUAGACCGCCACCCAGGCUCAAAAGGAUCAUGAGACUAUUCAUACUAGAAACUUCCAUGUGCAGCUACAAGCUACAAUGGGCUCUAGCAUAGUUGACUAAGUCAUGCGAACUCUUACAGUGGUAGACUAGCUGAUGUAGGGGAUGUAGGUUGGUACGGUCUACCCGAUGGUAAGGUGCUAGCGCUUCUGAAAGACUAUGUCUCGGUCAUCCGUUUCUCAAACACCAUGUAGUGUGAGAAUCCCAUGGAGGAGAUCGAGUCUUGUGGGGAAAAGUGCACAAACCUCUGUAGAGUGUAUAAACUAAUCAUGAUUAGCCGUGUCCCCGGUUAUGGACGUUUUGAGUAUCUAGUACUUGGAUUAUCAUGUGAAUCUCAUCAUGUUACUCUAAAUUAAUUUUGUUGGGUUUUAAUGAUGAUUAAUUUAAUUGGGAUUGAGGAUGCUGUCAACCAUUCUCAAUGUUUAACAACCACCAUGAUAGUUAAAUAAAAUUUAUUGCUUUGCAGUAGGGAAAAAUUGGUAACCAUAGAGCUUUCCACCAGCCAUAUAUGCAUGUAGUAUAGCUUAUUCCUUCAUUACUCCCUAUGUGUUACAUUGCCAGCAUAUUCCAUGUGCUGACCCGUUUUCGGCCUGUAACGUUUCAUGUUGCAGACUUUUCAGACGACGAGUAAGGUGCUUUUAGGUCGUGGUUCUAUACUCAGUGAUGCCGUUGGAGUUGAUGGACUCACUUAUCUUCCAAGUCUUCCGCUGUUAUCAUUAUUAGAUGGCCUUAUGUCAUAUUUAUUGUAAUAAGUUCUCUUUUGAGACAUUCAAUGUAAUAAGUGUGUGAUUGCUACUCUGUUAUAAAUCCUUCAAGUACUGUGUGGUGUCAGCAUUACUGAUCCAGGGAUGACACCUGAGCACAGAGAUCAGACUGUUUGAGGUCUGGUCGCCACAAGAUGGUAUCAGAGCACACGCUGACUGUAGAACACGACCACUAAGCUAAAAGCCCUAGACCACUACUCUCUUCUCAUUUCUGACUCCUCAUCUUUUCUACUCUUUUAGGAUGACGGAAGCGAGGAUCAAGUUCACGCAGCCGGAUGAAGACACACCUUUUGGACGACACCUGAAGGAAGUCACUAAGUACCUGAACAUCGGAAUACCAAGUUUCACCGGGACCUACAAUGCCACCUUACCCGAAGAGGAGCGCUGGAAGAUUCAAGCUCAAGUUCCAGGAAGAACGUUCACGCCAGUCACGGAGCCCAUAGAGUGUACCUUUAAUGCACCAACCUGGAGUCUAGGAAAGAGCAUGGCAGCUCACAUCACCAUGGGAUGCAUUGGAGAAGUUUACAAAGACGACCUCAAGGAUACUAUCUAUCAGAUUUGCGGACGCCGAGAUGAACAAUGGGAGAUAGUUAGCACCAAGAAGGAUAGAUCCAUUGCAGCCUUCAUCCAGGAGUUAAACCAGCACAUUCGACGCUAGGAGAACCAGAUGUGCGCGAACAUGAUGGAGUUGAAGAAAGCGAAGGCUAGAAUUAUCGAGCUAGAUGGAGAACUGAAGGCCACUCGCAAGGACUACAUGGAGGAGAUCGUAGCUCUAGUGAGACAAAACGGCGAUCUUAAGGAGAAGAUUGAAGAACUCAUGGGGAAUUCAGCACCCGGAGGAGAAGACGAAGAUUGCACUUGUCUAGAGAACUACAUCAUCAUCAACGACAUUGAUUCCGAUCCUAGUGAUGAUGACUUCGAAGACGAAGCUGGAGCAGAUAUCAUGGAGUCUUCAUCGGAGCAGUUUUUCUAGUAGACCACCAUAACAGUAGUAGUAUUCCACCAUGUAUAUAGCAUAGUCCAAGCACUUUUGCGAUAGUUCUAGACCGAUUGUAUGCCCUUGUUUAAUUGAAUGAAGUGAUUUUGUGUGCAUUUGCCUCAUGAGCAUAUGGGUAGUGUUUUCCCUUUAGACCUCAUUCUAUUCUUAAUUCUCAUCUUUUCUAAACCCUUAGAUGCCUCCGAGACAUGACAAUGGAUUUGCAUUCCCACCUGAGCUCACUCAGUUGAUCCAGCAGUAGAAUGCGUUGAUGCAGUUGCUAGUCCAGAACCAGAACAACAACAACAACAACAACAACAACAACAACAACAACAACAACAACAACAACAACAACAACAACCCACCACUGCCACCACCUGUUGAUCACUUAACCCGCUUUCUUAGGCUGAAUCCGCCGGUGUUCUCCAGUAGCACCGAGCCGAUAGUGGCAGAUGAUUGGCUCCGCAAGACAGGGAGGGAGUUGACCACUGCAGGAUGUACAGAUGGGGAAAAGGUGAAAUUUGCCGCUCAUCAGCUUGAAGGACCCGCAGUAGCAUGGUGGGAGAAUUUCACAGCCACUUACCAUGUGGACACUGUCACAUGGGAUCAGUUUCAGCAAGCUUUCCGUACUGCCCAUAUUUCAGCAGGAGCUAUGGCCACGAAGAAGCGUGAGUUUCGCAACUUGCGCCAAGGAGGACGGACAGUUGGCCAGUAUGUGGAUGAAUUUAGUAAGCUAGCACGUUAUGCCCUAGAUGACGUUGCUACGGAUGCAGCUAAGCAGGAGGAGUUUCUGGAAGGACUGAAUGACGAGCUGAGCAUGCAGUUGAUGGUAGCAAGCUUCAACAACUACCAGGAGUUGGUAGAUCGUGCUCUUAUGAUUGAAGGGAAGCAGCAACAGAUUGAAAACCGCAAGAGAAAGUAUGGACAGGGGAAGUACAAUUCUGGAGCUCAGCAGAAGCCCCGUCUUACCCCUAAGCAGGGAGUUCAUUUUCAGCAUACCCAUGGAGGAGGUAGAUCGCACAAUCAUAAUGGCCCCAAAAAUGGUAAUGAGAAUGGAGGAAGCAACGGCCAAAACCGUACCACCCCAUCAACCCCGGCCAAGAGAGACCUAAGCCAAGUCAUCUGUUUUAAGUGUCAGAAGACCGGACAUUAUGCCAAUGAAUGUCCUGAAGGCCAGAAUGGCAAUGGAAGCUCUGGGAAGAAGCCGAACCCUUUCAACAGGGGACAGGUGAACCACGUUAACAUGGAGGAGGUUGAAGCCCAGCCUGAUGCAGUAAUAGGUAAGUUUUUGGUUAAGUCAUUUACUGCACUCGUUCUUUCUGAUAUUGGUGCAUCGUAUUCAUACAUAUCAAGGGGAUUUGUGGAUAAGUAUAACCUGCCAACCCAAACCCUUAGGUCACCCAUGUUAGUAACCUCGCCUGGAGCUGAGUAUAUGGCUAGUCGAUGGUGUGAUCAGUUACCAUUAAGGAUUGGUAACUAUGUGUUUCCCUUGGACCUAAUAGUAUUGGAAUCUCAAGGAUUGGAUGUGAUGGCAUGGAUUGGUUGUCAAAGUAUGAAGGGAACAUUGAAUGCGCUAGUAAGACAAUCUUACUUACGACGCCAGAAGGAAGAAGGAUCAAGUAUGUAUCCCGGCAUGCGCCAAAAAGGACACAAGUAAAUUCCUUAUCAGGAGUUGUGCAGGAGGAAGUACCAGUGGUAAAGGAUUUUCCUGACGUAUUUCCAGAAGAGUUGCCAGGCAUGCCACCCGAUAGAGACAUUGAGUUUUUGAUUGAGCUUUUGCCAGGCACAGGGCCAAUAUCGAAGAGACCAUACAGGAUGCCCGCAAAAGACUUGGAGGAGAUUAAGAAGUAGAUUAAGGAGUUACUGGAUAAAGGUUUUAUUCGCCCAAGUUCUUCGCCUUGGGGAUCACCAGUACUUCUAGUGCAGAAGAAGGAUGGAUCGUUAAGAAUGGUUGUUGAUUAUCGUGGGUUGAAUGAAGUAACGAUCAAGAACAAGUACCCACUACCAAUGAUCAAUGAUCUGUUUAAUCGAUUGCAAGGAGCUAAAGUGUUUUCCAAGAUCGAUUUGCGAUCAGGGUACCAUCAGUUGAAGAUUCAAGAGCAGGACAUACCUAAGACAGCUUUCACCACAAGAUAUGGGCUAUAUGAGUAUACUGUUAUGUCAUUUGGUCUGACUAACGCACCUGCCUAUUUUAUGAACAUGAUGAACAAAGUAUUUAUGGAGUUUUUAGAUAAGUUCGUCGUGGUGUUCAUUGAUGAUAUUCUGGUUUACUCGAAGAAUAAAGAGGAACACAAGGAACAUUUGCGAUUAGUACUUGAGAAGCUUAGAGAACAUCAGUUAUAUGCCAAGUUCAGCAAAUGUGAGUUUUGGUUGAAGGAAGUAGGAUUCCUUGGACACGUUAUAUCCGGAGAAGGAAUAGCAGUUGAUCCCACAAAGGUUAUCACUGUGACAAAUUGGGAAGCACCAACAAUAGUUGGAGAGAUCCGGAGUUUCCUUGUACUUGCAGGAUACUACCGGAGAUUUAUUGAGAACUUCUCGAAAAUUGCAAAUCCUAUGACGGAGUUGUUGAAGAAGGAUACCAAGUUCAUAUGGACUGAGGAUUGUGAGGCUAGUUUUUAGGAGUUGAAGAAAUGUUUGGUUACCUCACCAGUGUUGAUUCUGCCAGAUCAGACCAAGGAUUAUGAGGUGUAUUGCGACGCUUCACGUCGUGGACUUGGAGCAGUGCUUAUGCAGGAGGGAAGAGUUGUUUCGUAUGCUUCACGAUAACUGAAACCUCACGAAUUAAAUUAUGCCACGCAUGAUUUGGAGUUAGCAGCUGUAGUGCAUGCAUUGAAAACAUGGAGACAUUUCCUCAUUGGGAACCAUUGUGAGGUGUACACAGAUCACAAGAGUUUGAAGUACAUUUUCACGCAGAAGGAGUUAAACCUCAGACAAAGGAGAUGGUUGGAGCUCAUCAAGGAUUAUGAUAUGAGAUUGCAUUAUCAUCCCGGAAAGGCUAAUGUAGUAGCGGACGCAUUGAGCCAUAAGAGCCAUGUCAAUACACUAAUGACGGGAGAGUUGCCAAAGGAGUUAGCCGAGGACCUUCGUGAGCUAUGUUUGGAGAUAGUUUCAAGAGGCUAUGUAGCAGCAUUGGAAAUUCAGUCAACUUUGUUGGAAAGAGUCAGAGAAGCUCAGAAGUCUGACAAGGAGAUUGCCUCUAUAAAGGAGAAAAUGAGCAAAGGAAAGGCUAAAGGAUUUCGUGAGGAUGAGCACGAUACCCUAUGGUUUGAAGACCGUGUUUAUGUGCCCAAUGACCCGGAGAUCAGGAAGUUAAUUCUGCAAGAGGCACAUGAUUCACCGUAUUCGACCCAGGGAAUACCAAGAUGUAUUUGGAUUUGAAGGAUACCUUUUGGUGGACCGGAAUGAAGAAGGACAUUGCGGAGUAUGUAGCAGUUUGUGAUGUAUGUCAGAGAGUAAAGGCAGAGCAUCAGAAGCCAGCAGGAUUGUUGCAGCCAUUGCCGAUACCCGAAUGGAACUGGGAUAAGUUAGGCAUGGAUUUUAUCACGGGCUUACCCAGGACUCGUUCAGGCUAUGACUCGAUUUGGGUUGUAGUUGAUCGAUUGACGAAGGUAGCUCAUUUCAUCCCAGUAAAGACCACUUACACCAGUGCUAAGUUGGCAAAGAUAUACAUGACCAGGAUCGUAUGUUUGCAUGGAGUUCCGAGGAGUAUCAUAUCAGAUAGAGGAACCCAGUUUACCUCAAAGUUCUGGAAUCAGUUGCACGAAACUUUGGGAACCAGGCUAGAGUUCAGCACAGCUUUUCAUCCACAGACAGAUGGACAGACCGAGAGAGUUAAUCAGAUUUUGGAGGAUAUACUGAGACCUUGUGCGCUAGAUUAUGGAUCUAGUUGGGACGACAAUUUGCCAUAUGCCGAGUUCUCUUACAACAAUAGCUAUUAAUCCAGUUUGAAGAUGGCCCCUUUCGAAGCUCUGUACGGAAGGAGGUGCAGGACACCGUUGUCGUGGGACGAAGUUGGAGACCGCUAGUUGUUUGGACCUGAUUUGAUUAAAGAGUCUGAACAGAAGGUGAAGUUGAUUCGCGAUAGACUCAAGGUAGCAAAGUCCAGGCAGAAGAGCUACGCAGAUUCUAAACGCAAGGAGACAGUUUACGAAGUCGGAGACCGGGUUUAUCUUCGAGUAUCUCCACUUCGGGGAAUUAAGCGUUUUGGAGUUAAGGGAAAGUUAGCGCCACGUUUUGUAGGACCAUAUCGAGUUUUGGAACGUAUGGGAGAAGUGGCCUACAAGUUGGAAUUUCCCGAAGGAUUGUCAGGAGUUCAUGAUGUAUUCCACGUUUCUCAGUUGAAGAAGUGCCAUGCGGAGAUGGCUGAUAUACCAUAAGAGAUACAGUGCCAUUGGAAGGAAUUCAGUUGGAUAACGAUUUGACCUAUGAGGAGAAACCAGUUAAGAUUCUCGAGUUUGCCAGCCGAGUCACCCGCAGCAAGGUUAUCAAGUUUUGCAAAGUCCAGUGGAGCCACCACACCGAGGAUGAAGCCACCUGGGAGCGAGAGGAUGAUUUGUUGAAGUACCACCCUCACCUAUUUUCUAUCCAACCCGAAUCUCGAGGGCGAGAUUCAUCUUAAGGGGGGUAGGUUUGUAACAUCCCAAAUUUUCAAUUUGGAAUGUUAUACAUUAGAUCAUCAUUGCAUAUCAUAUUUUAUUUGCUCUUGGUCUUGAUCCUAGAAAUUCUACAUAACUCAAGGACCCACGGAGAGAGUUGAGGGUUUCGUUAUUUUCAUAUUUGAGUUCUCUCAAAUUUUGAGAAUAGGAUCAUUUGAUUUUAAUUAUUUUAUCUUCAAUUAUUUCUAUUACAAAAAUAUGAGAGAGGAAAUAAAAUGACUUUCCCAAAAUAAAGAAAUAUUGAGGAUUUAAUAAUAAAAUCAAAUAAAAUUUUAUUUCGGAGUUUUUCGAUAUUUUUAUUUGAAUUUAGGAAAAAUAUGUGUUUUUCAAAAUUUCAUUUAGGCCCCAAAUAAAUGUUCACUUUGUCCGGCAUGAUUUUAGAAGUCGGGGAAAAUUUAUUUCAGGAUUUUUGGAGUUUGUUUAGUAUUUCUUUUAUUUGUUUUUCUGCGCGUAAUUAUUUUAAAAAAAUCCGAACCGACUCCGGGCCGUACCCGAGCGGGACUCCGCCCGGGGCAGCCUUUAAAUAGCGCCGCCCGAGCCCCGCCAAAGCCCAUCAGCCGCCGCCGCAGCCCACCCGUGCCUAACCCUAACCCUAGCGCCGCCGCUGCCCGCGUCACCGUCGCGCCGCCGCUCGCCGGACCCGCCGUCCGGUUUUUUUAAAGCCGCUGUUUAUCUUUUUAGAUUCGUUUUUUCAUUUAGAUCGGUUUUAUUUCGGUUUAUUCUAUUUAGCGAGCGUUCGCUCGAUCCGUUCGUUUUAACGAACGUGUUCGUCGUUUAGAUCCAGAUAACGGAUGUCCGUUCGUUAACCUGUUCGUCGUUUUUCUUUUUUCUCGGAUUUUCUGCGAUUAUUUUUGAUCGUGAUUUCUGAUCCGAUUUUCGUUUUAGUAUAACUUUUCGCUCGUUUAUCGGAAUCAGACGAUUCAAGCGCCUGGAGUUUCGUAUCGAAACCCUCUUUCCGUUUAACCAACUUAAACAAGUUUUUGUUUUUGUAAAAAUUGACUUAGGUCCAGAUUAGUAUAACGAAGUUGUUUUCUUUCGCCAUUUGACUUUUGUUGCUUCGUUUGAUUUGAUUCUUUUUGUAAACCGGAGUUCUUAAGUUGAACUUUCUGGUUAGAUCUUUUAUUUAAGUUUUACCUGUGCAUUAGAUGAGUACUUAUUGUAUGCUUGUUUGUUUGUCUGCGAUAGAAUACCCGAAGUGCGCCGCCUGUUACUUCGAAUCUCUAGGUUUCGUGGAUCGUCAGCAAGGCAAGUAACACUUUGAUCAUACCUUUCUACUACCCAGUUUUAUUGCAUUAGAUCAAUCCUCAAACAUUGCAUGAUUAGGAUCUAAUCAAAUUAUGGGAUGGGAAGUAGUUGAGGUAGUACCUAUUACUUGUUUUAUUUUCAAACCUUUGGGAGUUACUUCUACGUUUGCUUAUUAUGCCAUGCUAUGCUAGUAGACGUGGAUUGGGUGAGUGAUAUCCAUGACAGAUGUGAGAUUGUUAAUUAAUGGUUUAUCUAAGGUGGCAACUUAAACACACAUCUGGAUGGAUUGAGGUACCUGGGUAUUCCAGGAUUGCCUGUUUCUUUUUGGACCGCCACCCAGGCUCAAAGGGAUCAUGAGACUAUUCAUACUAGAAACUUACGUGUGCAGCCACAAGCUACUAUGGGCUCUAGCAUAGUUGACUAAGUCGUGCGAACUCUUACAGUGGUAGACUAGCUGAUGUAGGGGAUAUAGGUUGGUACGGUCUACCCGAUGGUAAGGUGCUAGCGCUUCUGAAAGACUAUGUCUCGGUCAUCCGUUUCUCAAACACCAUGUAGUGCGAGAAUCCCAUGGAGGAGAUCGAGUCUUGUGGGAAAAAGUGUGCAAACCUCUGCAGAGUGUAUAAACUAAUCAUGAUUAGCCGUGUCCCUGGUUAUGGACGUUUUGAGUAUCUAGUAUUUGGAUUAUCAUGUUACUCUAUAUUAAUUUUGUUGGGUUUUAAUGAUGAUUAAUUUAAUUGGGAUUGAGGAUGUUGUCAACCAUUCUCAAUGUUUAACAACCACCAUGAUAGUUAAAUAAAAUUUAUUCCUUUGCAGUAGGGAAAAAUUAGCUUUACGCAAAACUGUAACCAUUGAGCUUUCCACCAGCCAUAUAUGCAUGUAGUAUAGCUUAUUCCUUCAUUACUCUCUAUGUGUUACAUUGCCAGCAUAUUCCAUGUGCUGACCCGUUUUCGGCCUGCAACGUUUCAUGUUGCAGACUUUUCAGACGAUGAGUAAGGUGCUUUUAGGUCGUGGUUCUAUACUCAGUGAUGCCGUUGGAGUUGAUGGACUCGCUUAUCUUCCAAGUCUUCCGCUGUUAUCGUUAUUAGAUGGCUUUAUGCCAUAUUUAUUGUAAUAAGUUCUCUUUUGAGACAUUCAAUGUAAUAAGUGUGUGAUUGCUACUCUGUUAUAAAUCCUUCAAGUACUGUGUGGUGUCAGCAUUACUGAUCCAGGGAUGACACCUGAGCACAGAGAUCAGACUGUUUGAGGUCUGAUCGCUACAAUAAGUGAUUCUGAAGUGCACUGCGCAGCCAAGCCCACAUCUCAUGUUGUUACUAUAUUAUUCGGCUACCUUUAUUGUUUCUAAUAGGAAAAGCAAUAUAUUUGAUCCAAUUCCAGGCAUCUAUGGUCGACACAUCAUCAAGAACAAUAAGGUAUUUCUUGUCCUCUAGCUUUUCUCUGAGGUAGUUGGCGAGAUGCUCUACUUGCAUUGCCUUCUGUUCAAGUUCUUUCAAGAAUUUCCUCAAUGACUCGGUACCCAAAAGUUGGCUUAUCAUCUCCUUGAGCAUCUCUAUCUUCGAAAAUGACUGUGAGACUGUGAUCCAAGCACAACAAGCAAAUUUAUUCACAAUAUCUUCCUUGCUAUCAUAUGAAGUGGCGGAUCCAGAGGGUGGACAGGGUGGGCUGCGGCCCACCCUGGGAUUUUGCGACGGCAUGCAUACCAUAGUAGAGAAGGCUCGAGGAAAAAAAAUAAAAAAAGCCCAGGAAGCACUGUUGCGACCUACUGCGCACAACCACACCUGUUCCCGUCUCCUCCUUCCCCUCUCUGGUCUAUGCGCCGCCGUCCCUACUCAGCUCAGCUGCUCGCCGUAGCGGCGGACCUCGGCGGAUCCACUGCCACAUCCCGUUCCCAGGACGUCAGGAGCCACUCGUCACCUGCCCCGCCUGGUCGAAGCGACAGCGGCAGGCUGGCACCACCCCGCGCGUGCAGUCCUGCCUGGCAGCAGGCGGUAUGCAUCGGUCAACAGGAAUUCAUGAUUUCUCAUUUGCGUAGGUUUCCCUUUGUUCACACUUCCAAUUUCUAAAUUCUGAUUGAUUGCAUGUCAUAUUUGUUGCUAUUAAGAAGAAAAAACGUGAAGAACUGCCUGGUCAUCUAUGAUCAAGAAAUUUCUAUGAAGUAUGAAGAACGGGAGUAACAUGUGUUGACUUACAAUAAUUUGUGUUUUGUGUGUAUAGUAAAUUGGAACUAGGAGUUAAAAUCAAAAUUGUAGUAUGAUGCAAAGCAACUAUUUCUUGAAUGGCAAUUCUUCACUGCCAUUUGUUCCUACACAUAAAACAUAAGUAAAAUUAGUAGUGAAGGAUCGUAGGCAAAAAUAUUCUUUUUGCAGAAGAUACUCCAUACAAUUGAUGGUAGGCAUGUCAUAUUUGUAGUAAUUUUUUUAAAGAUGGACCACCCUGUUUCAAAAUCCUAGAUCCGUCACUGAUCAUAUGCCUUCCUUGCUAGAGUAGUCUUACCUAAACCGCCCAUGCCAACGACACAUAUCACCUUGGAAAGACCAUCUCUGGAGUUAACAUCCACCAUCUUAAUCAACUCCUCUUUAGGCUUAACAAAGCCCACAAGCUCUGCCUCAUCAAUGUUACCAGCUGAGUGGCUACGAACAUCUUCCAUGCUGGAAUUCACCUCAUCAAUGUUGCUGAAGGCAUCAGUGUUGAUCAAGUUAUAACGUGCAUUCCUAUUGCUCACUUCUUCAACUCUUGCUUUGAGAUCACGGAUUUGGCUGGCAAUCCGAUACCGAUCUUUCAGCUUAAGCAGCCGUCGAGAACGGCUCUGGCUUCCCACAUGCACCAUAAAUUCAUCAAGACAAUCCUCAAUACCAUAUGCUAGAUCUCUUACUUGCUCUGCCCACACCUUCAGUAGGAUGUUUUUGUUCUUUGUUUUCUCGGCAGCCAUGAGGAAUGCUUGCAUCGUCUUGAGCUCGUCUUUUAUGAACCUAAUUAACAUGGUUUCUUAGAACAACUGGGUUUACUGCCAUUUUACAGCUCACAUAUAGGAGGGGAACAACUCCUACUUCGAUUGGAAAACAACGAUAUUUAUGACAGAUGAGAUGUUUAUAUAGAACUAGGUACGUGGGCUAAAAGAAGCAUCCAGUCAUUUUGUUGUAAAAAUAAAAAUAAGCUAGCGGUCCGUCGGCUCCUACAAGCAUGGAUCCAUAAACAUGCCUCUCACCGACUAGUAAAAACAAAAUCGACCUGGCAAAAGGAACACCGGCCGGAAGAGAAUUCAGAAGUACAUACCAGAUGUCCUUGCGGACGCCGAUGAGGAGGCUCAUCUCGGUGGCCGCGGCGGAGGCGGCCAUGCUGAUGGGGCCCCCAGCAUGGAUCUCGCCAUGCUCACCACCGUCUCCGCCAUAUCUAGCUCUUUCCGUCCGCCCUUCCUUCCUUUCACGAGUCUCAAGUGCUACAAGGCCGGCCGGCGUGGGUGUUCGUAGCUUUGGUAGGAUGCUCUGUGCGCUCAGGCUGCUUACUUUGGAGAUAACAUAAAGAGGCAAAGCAAAAAGAGGCACGGAUGACACCUAGCUUGCUCUACCUGUUAGUACACGCAAUUAAAGAUGCAAAGAAGGAAAGUAGCCCUCGCCAGGGCAAUUUGCAUUUCGCAGAGAAGAAAGACAUGGCAAUGGCAUAGGGUAUCACCAAGGAAAGCAUCACUCAAGAAGCGUCCCCAAAGCAAAAAGUAUCGCAGAGGAGAACCUUUAGUUUGUACCAACUUUAAUAAAUUUGUGCAGAUCCAAAACUGAAUAGUACGCGUUUUUCACACGCAGAAUCUUAUUCGACGCUCACCUCAUUUGAUUUGUCAACGUUUCACACAGAGUGUGCGCUCACCUUAUUUUUUCUCUUCUGGUUCAAGGAUGUGUUUCUCCGGAUUUUCUUCCUUUUUUCCUUGUUCUCUUCAGUUUUUAUCUUAGCAAUUUUCUUUUGUUUGUGUCUUUUAAUUUUUUUCAUCUAGUUUUUGCUUUUUCUUUUUCCCUUUUUAUGUCAUUUUAUAAAUAUAGUUCUUGCAUACACAUGAAUAUUAUUUGAAUAUGUGAUGGCAUUUUUUUCUAAUACACGACAAUCAUUUUUAAAUGAAUAUUGUUUUUCAAUACAUGAGGCACGAUGGCCACUUUUUUAAAUACAUGAUGAGCAUUUUAUAAUGUGCAACGAAAAUUUGUCAAAUGCAUUUAAAACACUACAAUAUUUGUUUUAGUAUUUAAGCUUAUUUUUGACGAUACUUUUUUAUACAUGCAUAUGUGAUUUUUUUUAAAAUAUUACAUACAUGGCAUAUUAUUGUAAAAAUGUUCAUGAAUUAACAACAUAGUUUUGUAAAAUGUUCAUGAAUUUUAUUUUAAAGGAUUUUAAAAUCUUUUAACGAAUUUAAAAAUAUAUGUAAUCAUGAACUAGAAAAAUGUCAAUGCAUUUAAAAAAUAUCUGUGUAUUUAGAAAAAACAGGUCGGACUGCGCCUCCUCACUGACGAGCAGACGCAAUCAACGAACGACGGCGAAAUAGGGCGUGCGUGCAUGGCCUCGGAAAGCCGCUGGCUCAUGAGGUCUGCCCGCUCACCCACUCUUACGGUCUUACCCCGUCUCUCCUGUUAGAAUAAAAUCCGACGCAUAUCGUAUCACCCGAGGACCAAGCAAUUACAUGAACACGACACCGAGAUUUAUUAAUGAGGUUCAUCGAUAUGGCUACAUCUCCGGGGCUUGACUAUGGGUGCUUCUCCCCAUGACACCGUCACAAUACCGCACACCGGUCACCCGGUCGUCGGCACACGCCGCCGGCUCCCCUUCGUGCUUGUACUAUUACUAGCACAAAUGCCCGUGCGUUGCAACGGGGUAAUAAAGACAUAGACAUUAUUCUAUUGACAAACUUGAUGACAAGUAUGAAUUUCGUACAAAUUUUACUAAAACAUCUUUAGCUAAAUAGAAAAUGCAUAUAACACCGACAUCUUAAUCUUCAAUCAAAAACACGAAGGUAACAAAACUCUUAUAACUGUGGAUAAAACUACAAUAUAUCAGCCUACUUUAAAUUGAACUGCAUCAAUUUCUGCACCCUCAUUAAUCCAAAAAGAUUGAGAUGGUUACAUUAGUCGCCUUCCGAUAUGAAUUCAGUCAAUUGCUUGGUAUCAUCUAUACAGAAGGAGAAAAAGUAAUCAAUCAUUUUCUUACAUCUAUAUGUCAUAUUGGUAAGCCUUAAUUUGGAAAAUGAACACACACACACAUACGCUUAAAUUUAUAAAAAAAACAUAUCUUCUGUUCUGAGCAAUCAUUGAUAAUCUACACUGGAAUUAGUUAAUGCCAGAUUUGCAAGUGGCCUAAAAAAUGGCCUAUGUCUCAUGCGUAUUGUUGCUCAAGUGACCAACGCACAAAUUCUUUACUUCCGCCGAAUUCCAUUUGAUCAUGUACAAGCAAGGCACAUCUGAUAUUACUCGAGCAUAGGUUCAACAAUAUUGUUUAUUUAAUUUAAUGUUUAUCAUGAUAUGCACCCAUUUUCCGCCAAGCCCCCAUCUGCUCCUAUAUAGUCUAUUGAAAUCUGAAUCCUAUGAAAUGCAAAGUGCCGCUCCUUGUGCAGGGGAUAGCCUCACAUGGUCCUGCAUGUAGAAUUGAAUCUAUCUACACAUAUGUUGACAUUUACCCUUGACUUUUUUUCCCUUUAAUUCCUUGCCUUGUGCGCUCGAACGGAAUUUAUGUUUCAAACUUCCUGCUCAUAAUAGCGCAAUCAAAAUUUAUUUCUUCUUUUGGUUUCUUUCCUUUCAUGCUCAUAUCCUAGGACCCAACUUCUAAUCACCGUAAGUAGAACAAUAUUCUUCCGUAAGUAGAACAAUAUUCUUCCGCGAUCUCAACAUAAAUUCAAUUGCAACAGAAUCAGAACCGACGCAUCAAAGGAUAGAUCAAACAAUUCCAUGGUAAAGUUAUUUGGAGCGAGUGUUUUUUCAGUGGAAUAAGUGUUUCAUCUGGAGUGGAAUUUUGAGAUGCCUGCAUGUUGUACUAUUUUCUGAUGUAUUAUAUCAUAUUCUUAGAAGCUAAAUGCAGUUUGAAUAUAAGACAAACACCAUGAAGCUACCUAUCAUUAUGCUUUGCUUUCUCUACCUGCAGCUUUGUUUUCACCUCAGAUCCGUAAGGAGGAGCGCAGACAGAGAAUUGUACAGAGGGAAAAAGAUUUUGAGACACACUUGGCUUAUCACCAGACAAUCCAUCGAAGUAUUAGCACAGAAUGUGGAACUACAAAUCACCAUCUCCACUCCACCGGUAGUUCAAAAUCUCUCGGGAUUUUUAACCUGACACAACAUAUGCUAGUAUACCUAUACAUGUAUCAGUUGCAAUUUUAGCUAGCUAGGAGCAGAGGUAAUUAGGAAGCAAAGCUUGUUAUUGCUACCUGGAACUAAGGCCAGAUGAGAACCACCGCAACAGCUGUUCCAAUUUUGUUUUCUCUGUUCAGAGAACAACACUAUCUGAAGGAAUUGCUGACAGUUCCAGCGCUUCGUUCAACAGACCAACCACACAACAUGGGUGUCUACAAUCACAAGAAGGCAACAAUAUCUAAACUGACGUACUUCGCAACAAUAUCUUUAUCUCUGAACUCCAUAUUAGAAGGUACACAGAGAAACAAGGGACAGAAAAAUAACUCCAAACAGGGGUCAAGGGGAUACAUACCUCUGCUGUAGCCGACGCAGGCGACAUUGGAUAGCUUGACGACUGUUCUUCUACCUUUGGCGAACUCGACGCUUCUUCUACCUCCGGCGAACUCGGCACUUCUUCCUGCAGCGAACUCGGUGUCGACAUUGGAUGCUUCGUCCAAAAUUGACCUGAUGGAGAUUCGAGCCGAGGACCCUCCCUUCUUAUAGAAGCCAACAACAAUCCGGGUCGGCAGCUCCAUUAAUUUGCGUUGGACAAGGACACGGACUGCAAUCCAUCCAAAUCGAUUUGUGUUGGACAAGGAGACUGCAAUUCCAUCCAAAUCAUACACGGGAGCAGAUGCAGAGGUUGAGAAGGUUACGUCGGGGGAGGCGGGAGAGGACUGGCUGUGGCGGACAGGUCACAGUGGAGCAUGCUCGCCGCCGGCGCUGGCCGACGGCGUACCCAAACUGAGCUGUGCCCCCUUCGCAGCGCCAACGAGGUCCGGCGCCCUUCUCGCGCGCAAGAACGGCAACCGCCUUCUUCGCGAAAUUCCUGAGCACGACACCGCACAGGGACAGGUGCCGGCACCGGAGCAGCAGAAAGCAGGCGACCCACGGCGAUGGCGCAGGGGGGCUGCAGCAGCUGGUCCAGCGCGGCCACAAGCUCAUCACCAAAACUCUUCUCCGCCCGCCGCGCCGCGCCUGAACAUCUUCUCGGCCAUCUUCUCCUGCUCCGUCGCGCCGCCCCUUCUGCUCCGUCGCGCCGCCUCUUCUGCCACAGCUCUGCCCAGCUCCGCCCUUCACUUGUCUAUUGAGCGGUUGGAUAAAACGUACUUUUUUUAACGAAACAUAGAGAUGUAGCGGUCAGAAUAGAGAGACGGGCCAAGGCCCAACUGGAUCACAGCCCAGCUAAACGAGAACAUACCGGUCAAUCGAGUUGCAGAGACAAAAUUUAGUACCACCUCAAAUAUGUUAUAAAAUUCAAAAUGAAAGCAUAAAAUCAUGAGAAAAAGCGCAUUGUGACGGUGAACCCACGGAGUCAACCCGUGCUUUAUUAUUAGGGAGAGAUAUGUUGGCAUAAAUUACAUCGUGUGUCUACCCUCACUAUAUAUGAGAGGCGUAGAAUACAAGUGUCCUACGAGGCCACGACUCCAUAUCCUAUUUAAACACAGUAGUACUUAGAGUCCAACUGUAACCUACCUUGUACACAAUAUUCAACACAACUCCAACAAACUUCACCUUGGCAAAUAUCCUCCAUCACCUUGAAUUUGUUAAUGUGUCAAACUUUCAUGUACGUUGGAUUUGAGCUUAUCCCGAGCACUGCUGGUACUCCAAGACUUCAUGUGAUCCACUUGCAACUUGUAGUCCCUUCUUUUCUUGACCACAGUCAACACUUGUGCAAAAUUAAGUUCCUUCUUACUUUAGUUUGUGCUCCCAACUUUCAGAGUAUCCGUCCAACGCCAUCACACACUGAUCACUGACAUGCGUGAAGGUGAACAACUCACAUAUUGGUGACACAUAGCAGAGUUACCUGAACUCAACAUCACCGCUCCUUCUUGAUCGCCUGUCUGAAACUUGAAGGAAUUUCAUCAUUGCAUGUAGUCAUCUGGAGUCAAAUUCGCAGUUGUCUCACCACAUGUAUGACCACCAAAGCCCUGGCCCGUCUCCAUGUUCUGUGCACGCUGCACGCCUCACCGCUAUUACCGCGUCGAGCCUCCGCUGUUCCGGUCGAGUCUCAAUGGUCGCGAAACCACAUCAUUCAACCCCCACUACAGAGUACCACCGAUCAUCACCGACCGAUGACGAGUUUCACGAUUCCAUCAGACCCCUGGGCUCCAAUUUGAAUUACACGUCCCUCGCUUUUCCCGUUGAAUAGGCUUCGGCUCUCUGUGCACUUACGCCGUAGCCCCUCAAUCAGCGCCGAGUGAAGUCCACCAGACUCCAACUCCACCUUCAACAUGACUCCAUGAUAGAUGAUCAGUCCACCCACGCGCCUCAUCGACUUCAAGCUCCGUGUAUACACCACUUUGAAUCAAUCCUGCACCAUAGUCUUGUCGAAGCCAGACAAGCCCUCGGGCCUGUGCCACGUUUUUUCACGCCCAGAAGUCGGUCACCAUCAGCAUCACACUCCUAUGUCGUUGUCGCCGAUCCCACCACCGUCUUCUGUUCCAACCGACUCGCGUCGAUCCGUCAGACUAUCUAGUCCGACCCAACUGAACUUGUUCGGCUGCAUGACACGCCAGAGGCUCCCAAAUCGUCUUCCAAGAAUUCUCAUCCAUCACAUGAUAAUUCCAUCUUAGCUGAAUUGACUUCCCGCGACGCCUUCAAGCAUCUCUGUUAUGCCAACAAAUCUUCCAUCCGUGUCUGUCAUAACCCAAGGUUUUCAGUUCCGUAAACUUGUCCAUCUCAAACCUGAUACUCAUUGGCGCCAUGGUUCUUCGUAUAACCGACUGUGUGAAAAAAUACCCGAGCUAUCCCCGCGACGCCAAAGUACAAGAACAAAACCCAGCGUGGUCUCGCUUCUAUGCACCAGUAGCAAUCCACCAAAUUUUUGUCCUUCAGAUGAUCUGCUCCAUUGGCUCAACUCCUGACGCUAGUGCAACUUGCUUUGCCAAAACCUGAUGCUAAUUCCAAUGGAUGCACAACGUGACGUUCUUUUUCCCUCUGAUUGAUCUGCUGCCUCUCACCGUGUCAUACGUGGACUCGGUCCACUUUUGGUUCAAACAAAGCUCGUAUGCACAGGCAGCACCAUCGAGCGCCGCAUGCACAACAGGCCUUUGCCUCCACUUGAGCCACACAGCUGCACGCACCAGCCGACUCCACUUGGGCCAGCCAGCCCGCUCCACGCACCGCUAGCAGCAGCACGCCAUGCAGCCUGGCUCACGCGAACCGCCGAUCGACCGGCUGGCCCCGACUCGGCCUGCUGCUGCACGAUUCAACCGGUGUACGCUCGCCUGGUCGAUCCGUCGAUCGACCGCUGCACGUCUCGUCUGCUGCCACACGCACACGCGUCUCUGAUCUUAUUUUUUCUGAUCUCGCUGAGAACCACGCUGCACCCAGCUGCAUUUCAAACUCGAUUCUUCCUCCAGAUCAACAAUCCACAGCCUCCUCGUAACCUUGCUUAUGAUACCACUUGUUAGAAUAAAAUCCGGAGCGUCCCGUUGAUCAUCCGAGGACCAAGCAAUCACAUGAGCAUGACACCAAGAUUUGUUAACGAGGUUCACCGAUAUGGCUACAUCCCCGGGGCUUGAUUAUGAGCGCUCCUCCCCGUGACACCGUCACAAGACCGCACAUUGACCACCUGGAGGCCGGCUCACGCCGCCGGCUCCCCUUGCGCGCAUGUGCUAUUAUGUUGGCAUAACUUACAUCGUGUGUCUAUCCUCGCUAUAUAUGAGAAGCGUAGGAUACAAGUGUUCUACUAGACCACGACUCCAUAUCUUAUCUAAACACAAUACUACUCAGAGUCCAACUGUAAUUUACUUUAUACACAAUAUUCGACACAACUCCAACAUCUCCUGUUGCUCAAUCCAAUCUUAGUCAGUCAGUGGACCACGCAGCAGCUGCCCUGCCUUACUAGUCAACAUAGUCUAAGCUAAGUGCUCGGUCUUUCUCACGUUCAUGGUGCAGCUAUCCUGCUGCAGCAAGUUCCGACUUCUUUGUUUAGUGAUGUAGUGGACUUGUAGCUGAUGAGUUUCUUCAUGAACCCCCCCUAAUGGCACUUGGCUGAUGAGCAUGCAGUUAUAGUGGCAUGGUUAUUGGCCAGGACUUGUACGUCGGGCGACUUGAAAUUCUAAACCAUCAAAUCUUUGCAUAAGAGUGGUUCCGAAAAAUUCUCGAGCAUUUCGAUUGUUGCUCUUUUAUGUUCUUGCUGUUGGCAUACUGAGGACAAAGUUUCAGGGACACAUACAUGAGCCCGGUGAUUGCCUCGGAUAGCCACUUUUUUUCUGAACGAAGACGUCAAAGGCUUCCGGCUUUAAAUUAAUAAAGCCAACAGGCGGUAACCACAUAUUUCACAGUCAUCUACAGACAGGCCAUCAUAACGACCAAAAUAUAGGACUUCACCAACAUUAACACGCAGGCUGGCAUAACGAGAGUUCUAAACUACAUUGACGAGCAAAAGGUGUCGAGGGUAAGGACGAUGCACAGAAUCACUCCUGGCCUGCUACUUGUCUCGCUUCCGUCUCGAUGAAGCGGAUCUUUGCCAUCGUCUCGGACAUGCGCUCCUCAUCACGCGGUUUCCCCAACGGAACCCAAGUCUGCAAGAAAAGAUGGCAUUUGUACAUAAUAUCAGCAGUGUGAGAAGGAAACUUCUUCUCAAUGGUCAUCUUAUUGCGAGUAGUCCAUAAAACCAAAGCAGCGCCCCUACGCAACGCCAAACGAUCCGCGCACUAGCGCCCUUUUGCGAACGCAAAAUAUGUAAAAGAUCGACACUCGAUGCUGGGUUCCAAUUCUGCUGGAAGGCAGCUCUCACUGCGCUCCAGGCAAAUCCGGCUAGGUGACAGUGGGAGAAAGCAUGGUUAGCAUCUUCAAUGCAGUUUCAGAGCACACAUGAUCCGUCGGAGGGGCCGUUACGAAUCGCAACAUUAUCCGCCGCCGGGAGGCGAUUUUGAAACAUCUACCAGAGGAAGAUCUUUAUUUUCAGCAGGAGGCCAGCCUUCCACAGCCCUCUAGCUAUGUCCAGCACCUCGCCUUUGGUUAGUUUGCUAUACAGAGACUUAACCGAGAAUGAUCCCGAGGAAGAUAGCUUCCAAGAGACCUUGUCCGCACCCUGGCUGGUUGUGCGAUGGCCGAUCAAGGCCUUCACCGCGUUCCAUUCAUUUUCCUCGUGCGGGAGCAGAGACCUAAGAAAGGUAACCGAAGGCGGUGAGGUCCGGAGUGCCUCACCCACCAGCAGCUCCGUGUUAGAGGCAACUUGGAAAGCUGCAUGGUGACUCUGCCAAAGCGGAGAAGUGCCGAUCCAAGAUUCCAGCCAGAACCGAGCUGACUAGCCGUCCCGGACCUGAAACUUAGCCCCUAAGGUGAACGCAGGUCACAAAUCUUGGAUCCCGUUCUAGCAUGGGGAACCCGAACGUUUUGCGGAGAAAACAUUGCCGUUAGGGAAAUACUUAGCAUUAAGAAGAUCAACCCAGAGACCCGACUCAUUUUGGGCUAGCCUCCACCACCAUCGGGAAAGGAGGGCGACAUUCAUGAAUUUGGAGUUCAAUAUGCCCAAACCACCAAACUUUUUUGGACGGCAAACCGAAGCCCAUUUAACAAGGUGGUACUUCCGCUUAUUUCCCGUUCCUUACCAAAAGAAACGGGAGCGGGGCGUGUCCAACUUAGCGUGAACCCAUCCGCUAAAAAGAACAUUCCCAUGGUGAACAUAGGAAGAGAGGAGAGGCUAGAGUUAGUAAGAAUAAGUCUCGCCGCGGAAGACAUAAUCCUUCCACGCCAAGGGCUCACUCUAACCGCGACCUUUCCAUAGAGGGGCUCCUACUCCUUAAUUGAAAUCCGGCUAUGAGAAAUAGGCAGGCCGAGGAAUUUGGUUGGCAAGCUCCCUAGCUUGUAGUUGAGUAGGUUAGUCACUCUCGUACUUUCAUGGUCAGCCAUCCCCAUGGUUAUGACCUCGCUCUUGUGGAAAUUGAUUUUGAGCCCGGAUAAAAGCUCGAAGGCAGGCAGCAAAAGCUUCAUCGAGGCUAUGCUAUUGUCAUCCGGUUCAAAAAGCAACAUCGUGUCGUAAGCGUAUUGCAGAUGCGUGACCGCUCCGGGAAUCCUCUGAUGUGCCCUGCCGAGCGAGCCCUAUGUAACAUAGCUGACAAAGCAUCCGCAACAAAAUUAAAAACAAGCGGAGAUAAAGGGUCUCCUUGUCUUAGGCCUUUUUUUGUUAUGGAAGAAUCUACCCACCUCCCCGUUAAUAGAGACAGCCGUUUGUCCACAAUUAAUCAGGUUUAUAAUACGGUGGACAAAACCAGCGUCAAAACCCUUUUUGAGAAGCACCUCCCGUACAAACUCCCAGUUUACACGGUUGUAGGCUUUUUUCGAAAUCGGGCUUGAGCAGCACUCCUUGCUGCUUUUUAAUUUUUAGCUCAUGAACGAUUUCAUGAAGGGCUAUAGGGCCCUCCAGAAUAUUCCGACCCUUAAGAAAAGCCGUUUGACUUUUAAGGAUGACCCUCUGAGCAACAGGGGCCAACCGAGUCGCGUAAGCCUUGGCACAAAUCUUGAAAGGCAUGUUAAUAAGCGUGACAAGUCUGAAUAAUUUGACGUUGUCAGCCCCUUUAACCUUUGGGAUAAGGCUAAUAACCCCAAAAUUGAGGCGGGAGAUAUCUACCGUUCCAAGCACAAACCCAUUCACAAUAUUAAAGAAGAUGGGCCGAAGCAAAGGCCAAAAUCUGCAGAAGAAUUCGACAGGCCAGCCAUCAGGUCCCGGGGCGUGCCUUUCUUCAUACCCACCAGGGCAGCAUCUACUUCUUCAUGAAGGAAAGAGAGCGCCAAGCUCUCGUUCUCCUGGGAUGACACUUGAUCCUGAGGAUCCCAAAAAUCAUCACGGAUACUAAGUUUUUUCUCGUCGGUCGUGCCCAACAAACCAACAAAGUAAUUGUAGAUGUGGCGGGCAAUAUCUCCCUUGGAAACAAGGAGGCCCUACUCCGACUUCAAGCGAAGAAUCGCACUCCUACGCUUUCUCCCGUUAGCGUAAGCGUGGAAAUAAGCCGUGUUUGUGUCGCCCUUAGUCACCCACUUGAUGCCGCCCCUACGGCGCCAGUAUUCUUCUUACGCAAACAGGAUCGCUAGAACCUUGUGCUCCAGGUCAUACCUAUGGGCCCACUCAGCUUCCGAAAACAACCGCACAUCAGCCUGGGCAUCAAGACCCGCGAUCUCCUCAAUAAGCCUACCACGCUCACGUUUGGAAUCACUGCCAUGAUUGGCGCCCCACCCAUGCAGGAAGGCACGCAGGGCUGCAGCAGCAGCCGACCAGCACUCUACUGGUCCCCUUUGGGGCCCCUGCUGGGUCAGGAUCUGCUCCCAGCGAGCAUGCACCAUGUGUAUGAAGCCCUCUGCUUCAAACCAGGCAGACUCGAAGAAGAAGCGUUUGCUACGCUGGGCUCUCUCUUCCCCUGAAGAGAAGAUAAGAGGGACGUGGUCCGAUCCAAUACGAGUUUCAGGCACUAUGGUACAUAAAGGAAAAAGGACCUCCCAUUCCAGGGCAAAAAACACCCGAUCCAACACGAUGCGAACCGGGGCCAGCUGUUUGUUAGUCUAGGUGAUCCUGGCACCCGUACGAGCCGCUUCACGCAGUGCAGCUGCCACAAUGGCGUUAUUGAACAUGGACACCCUUGUCCAGUCCACCCGGUCAUUGUUUUUAUCCGCAUCCGAACGGAUCAAGUUAAAAUCUCCACCCACUACCAGGUGCAGAUUAGCGGUGCGCUUGGCCCUAACCAAGGCCGUGACUUCGUCCAAAAAAAUGGCAGAGCGUGCGUGGUCGGCCGGACCAUAAACACACACCACUAGCCAAAUAAGCCUAGAGAGUAGAGACAGAGUACCUAAUCGUAGCAGCGACAGAAAAUGUGCCUUGUUGCCAUGACAAAACCUCGCAUAUGUCUCUGUUACAUCCCAUCAGGAUCCCACCCGAGUGUCCUGGGGGGGGUAACCAGUGCCAAUUGAAACAGUUAAGGGGUCAAAAGCUAACAAGUCGUGAUAAGAAAAUUCUGCUUUAAUAGUUUCCUGUAGCACAACAACAUCAAUUCGUUCCUUGGCCAUGUAUUCAUUAAGUUGUGUCUGACAUCCCUCGUGGCCACAACCUCUAGUGUUCCAGAAAAGAUACCGCAUUAGAUCAAAUAAUACGAUUUCGCAGACGGAACCCGCGAGAGGUCACUGCCUUGGCCACGCGCUUCUGAGCCGUAACACGACUGGAAGAAGGAAGCAUUGAAGCAGCCCUUGCUUCAGCUUCCUCAGGCCUUGUUCGUUUAAUCCUCCUCCCAAGGGGAUUGGAGUGGAUUGGAGAGGAUUUUGCCUUGUAGGGGAUCUAAUCCCCCUCAAACCCUGCCAUUCCCCUUCAAAAACCACCUCAACCGAACAAGGCCUCAUCGGGGCAAGAAGUGGUACCAUCCCCUGCUAGUUCCACCGCAGGUGAGGUCGCAAGCACACAACGAGCCGCAGCUUCAGCAAGUGCUGCUUGGGCCUCCUCACGUGCACGCACUAACGAGAUGAUCUCUCCAUGAGGGAUAGAAGAGGCAACACCACUAUCAUCAGAAAUUCACGACAAAUGUGCAUCAGAGAAAGCAUUUAGAAUUUUGUAGGAGGGUAAAGGGUUACCUGAAACCUCCAGAUUUUUGUCAGCAGUACGAAGAAUGGCGCUCUCCAAUGAGGAUAAAUCUCCCAACUUGGCCUUGGACCGCACGCUCGGGGCCCGCUGCGGCUCCGGAGUCGCCUUGGACCGCUUGGCCUUAGCGCCCGUACCCACCGACGCCAGCACCGCGCCCAGAUCACCCCGAAACUGCUCCGACUCCAUCGCCGCACUCGCCUUAGCAGCCGGCUUCGGGCCCGUCUUCUUCUUGGGGGGUCUGCCCGAACCACCCGAGCCGCGACACCCGGAGGGUGGGGUGGGAGCAGAGUCGUCGUUGAGCACGCAGCGAGCAUCCACGCCACCAGGAGCCAUCGGGGAGCGGGGGACCGCGCCCCCCACGUCACCAGAGAGCACCUCAACCACCAUGGGGGCCAGGGAUGGCGAUCCAAGGUGGGACCCAUACUCAUCAAAAGAGACAGCAAGAGUCCUGGCCAGCAGAGGAAGGCUAACUGCACUAUCCUGCGUAGCCACAACCCGCGAUCCCCCAUCCAGCAUCCCAAGUCUCAGUAUCAAUUGAGGUGUCAUGUAUGCUUUCGUCCAGCUCAUCUUCUUGACCAUCCAUCACCGCAUCCUGGGGCAUCGCCGACCCGAGCGCGCCACCCGACGGCUGCUUAGACAGAUCUCUGCCACCACCAGCAGGUUUGGGGCCAGUGCCCGCGUCCCGCAGGCGACCAGACUGGUCCAAGGAGGGGGGAGGGGGUUGCUUGUCAGACGGGCCAGCUCCCCUGGAGCCGCUCUCACCAGUCCUUUUUGGGAGCCGUUCCACCUCCACCUUGAUUUGGUAGCCUUCCCCAUUGAACCACACCUCGACAAAAACCAUUGAGCUUGUCUGGCGACUUGCACGCCAGCUUCAUUCUCACCGGCCCCAACCGGAUUAGAGAGAGCUCAUCCACCACGAUGGUACGCCCCAGCAUCCUCAGUCCUUCCAUCAGACGCUCCACACGGCGAUGCUUCCUGGGGAUGCCAUGAAGCCGAACCCACGUCUCCGGCAUGACCAUUGGAACCACCUCCUCAUGCAGGGACUCCCUCACCCGUGUUGUUAUGUCGUUGAUGGAGAGAAAGAGUUUGUCACUGGACUUGGCCAUAUGGAGCAGAUCGGCCGAGGGAAAGAUGACCGAGAAGUCAUUGUCCCCAACUUGGGCGACCUGCCAAUCCCAAUCACCACUCACCAGAUCCCUGUUUGUCUCUCAGUCAACGGAGAGUUCAGCCUGCAGGCUCCCCGCGGUCUAAGAAACUGCCGACAGUGUGCAAACAUGGUCAUUGACUAUGGAUGGAAAAUACUACUGCUCGUUCCAAAAUAAAACUGUGGAUUACGGAUACCGUCGCGAGGCCUUUUUGCUGGCAAACUGUAAUUUGCAAAGCGAAACCGAUGAAAAUCGCAGAGUUAAUAGGGUAGCAUGCGUAUUGUCUCAUCAACUCAAGUCUGCAGAAAAUUGAUAACGACAUAUGCAAUCAUCAUUCUCUGUUUACAAAUAAGCGCAGACAUAGUGGCAAUCAUCUGUAGGAAAACAAAGUACUAGGAAGCAAAGUAAGUCUGUAUUUAAAAUUGAAGGUCUUUUAAAUCAGGCUGAUUCGUAGCAACAUCCUGUGUGGUGUAGCCAUAAAAUUUUCAACGUCUUCUCCCCAGCUGAAAUGCAUUUACAGAGCAUGCAUUAGUUUUAUUCCGUCGGCAAAUAUAUUGUGUGUUCGCAAGUUGAAAACAAUGUGACAAAAUUGCAAGGAUACGAACAACACACAACAUGAUAACUACAAAUAAAUAACUUACCUGUUAUCAGCAUGACUACUUCAUGGUACACGUUUCAGAGGCACUUUGACUGUUCAGGCACCGUGAGCUAGCUCUCUCCUUGCUCGGAAAUUGAAUUCCAGGCUGAUUCAGUCGAGAUCAUUCAGUGUCAUUGGCGGCAGAAGAUGUAAGGAUAUUUGUUCACUACAGGCUGAGGAGCUACGUGCAACAAAGUGGAUUAUAUGAAAUAAAUGCUUAACGAAAAAUCGACGCAGAAGACAUGACAAAGUUUACAGUAUAAGAUAGACCUUACAUGUCCAUCAGAUAGGUGGAAACGAAUGGUCGUAUCAUCACCAACAACAAGUGCAAACGAGCAACAUCUCCUGUUAUAGAGAGACAAAAGUCGUCAGAAACCCAAACUGAAUCAACUAAGCAAAGUAUGCAACCGUGGUAUUCCAGUUAAGGUGCCUGGCGACCUGAGCAUAAGGCAGUAGAAGCCAGCAUGCAGCAUGGGGGCGAUCGAGGUGAGCAAAGAACCAAAGAAUGGAACGGGGAAGAGAUCGAUCAUCAACUACAACUAGACACUCGUUCUCAGCGCAGAUCAUCUUUGCUGUUAUAGUAGGCAAGAAAGCAGAAUCCAAGUCUGAACCCCUAAUGGCACUUGGCUGAUGAGCAUGCAGUUAUAUAGUGGCAUGGUUAUUGGACAGGGCCUGUAUGCAGGGCGACUUGAAAUUCUAAACCAUCAAAUCACUGCAUAAGAGUGGUUCCGAGAAAUUCUCGAGCAUUUUGAUUGUUGCCCUUUUAUGUUCAUGCUGUUGGCAUACUGCGGACAAAGCUUGAGGGACACAAAAAUGAGCCCGGUGAUUACCUCGGAUAGCCGCUAAGAUCCCUGUUUGUAUCUCAGUCGGUUUGCUGACUGCUCAGUUCAGCCUGCAGGCUCCCCACGGUCUAAGAAACUGCCGAGAGUCUGCAAACAUGGUCACUGACUAUAGAUGAAAAAUACUGCUGAUUCCAAGAUAAAACUGUGGAUGUCGGGUACCGUCGCGAGGCCUUUUUGUUGGCAAACUGUAAUUUGCAAAGCGAACCCGAUGAAAAUCGCAGAGUUAAUAUGUAGCAGGGCAGCAGGCGUAUUGUUUCAUCAACUCAAAUUUGGUGGGAAAUGGAUAACCACAGAUGCAAUAAUUAUUAUUUGUUUACAAACAAGCACGGACACUGUGGCGGCAACAAAUGGAGAUGAAUAAACCAUCUCUAGAAAAAAAAAAGAGUACUAGAAAACAGAGCAAGUCUAUUAAACGCCAUUCCGUCAUCAGGUUGAUCAGCCAUUCCAUGCCACGGUCUUCUCCAAGAACCGGUUUUUCAUCUGGGUAAACAAUUGCAACUUGUAAACUCCUUCUGAGAUCUCAAAAUGGCGUUGCAGCUUGCUACACGCAUCUCUUACAUUGAAGCCCCAAGAUCACUGCGUUCCUCUUCCAUUCGCAGUGGAGAAAUGGCAAGAUCCCUCUCAGCUUCACCUUGCAUCAUACUAGAGGCUGCCAGCAAGCAGAGAUGUGGAACGUGAUGGCCAAUUAAUGGCCAGUUGCAGCAUAACAGCAUGUAUAUGCAGCUUCAUUGAUUGCAGCUUCUUGUGGGGUGUAUAUUCCAUUCCAUUUUUGACGUCUUGUCCCCAGCUGAAAUGCAUUUACACAGCAUGCAUUAGUUUUAUUUCAUUGGCAAAUGUAUAAUGUGUUCGCAAGUUGAAAACAACAUGACAAAUUGCAAGUAUAUGAAGCACCCGUAGCAUGAUAACUACAAAUUAAUAACUGACCAGUUAUCAGCAUGAUUACUGCAUGGUUCAUGUUUCGGUGGCACUUUGACUGUCGAGGCACCGUGAACUAGCUCUCUCGCCUGGCUCGGAAAUGGAAUACCAGGCUUCAGAUUCAUACGACCACUUUAUUGAUUAUUCUCAAGAACCUUACAAAGUAUUACAAACAAUAUACCUAAAUCCACCAUCUUGGCAACAUAUGCCUCUAUUCUUAUCCAUACGAUGAAGGGUGCUAGCUGGGCUACUACCCAAACCACUCACCUAAGCUUAACAUCAAAAGCCGGAAACCCCAGCCGAGCCCCAUACCGGGUCUGGGGCACAAUCCGGUCAGACGCACUCGUGUGUCGUCGCCGCCAUCUUCCACAGGUCCGUCUUCAGAUCAUAUUGAGGCUUCCACCUUGUCUGGCCACUCUGUCAUCGACGUCACCAUGAUGCCAGACAGCUACCUCCUCCUGCGCGAGUCCAUCUUCGCGCAUCGGACGCUGAGCCUCCACAGCGCCAUGCCGCCGAUCUCCGCCGCCAUCAAUGUGUGAGAUGAAGUACCGCUCCAUCAUCCCCCCCAACCAUCACUUGCUCCAAAACGAUGCCCCCAGGAGGGAAAGCGAUAAAACGCCAUCAUCGUCCAAUCCGAAAGACCCAGAUCUAGGGUUUCCCCCGGAGCAUCCCGAGCCUGAUGACGCAGACUGCAACGAUGAUGCCUCGACAAGGGAACGACAUCUAAGACGCCGUCAUCGUCUGCCAUGACCGUAGUCGGCGCGAUUUUCAUCAGCAGUUGCUCCACCAGACGUGCGUCACCGACGUCGCUGGUCCCUUCAACCGGAGUAGACUCGAAAACGAUGCCCUAAAGAGGGACUAUGACGCAAAAUCGUCAUCAUCGCUCGAUCCCAAGGAGAUCUAGGGUUUCCCCCGGAGUUGCCCGCGCUGUCAAGGACCAGACAAGGGUAGAAUCCCGGCGGAUCUGCCCAGCUGCCGACGAGUCGCACCCGCCACUAUGCCGACGGCAGACCAGCGAUCAAGGCCCAUGCUUGGGCAUAGAUCCGGCCGCGCCGCCGCGACCCGAUCCGGUCACGCCGUCGCCGUCCCUGGCGACCCGAUCCGGUCACGCCGCCGCCGUCCCUGGCGACCACGACGCACCAGAUCUCGAGGCCUCCUGCCGCGGGGGAGCGAAGUUGCCGAGGCGCCGCCACCACCCGCCGUGGCGUCUGGCCCGCCGCCACGCUCCGGCCCGGGGGCGCCGGCCCGCGCCAGCCCCACGCAAGCGAGAGGGCCCGAGUCCCCGCCGCCACCGGCGACGACUAGGCUUCACCUGGCCGUGCCCUUGGGCGGCGGCGAGGGAGGAGGAGGAGGAGUGGGGGAGGGCCGGCCGACGGGAUCUGCGGGCCUCCCGGCCGCCCACGCGGGGGGCGUCUCGGGAGGAGCAGUAGCACGGUCGGUCGUACGUACUAGUGAUUUGUAAUGGUUCUUAUUUGUCUUUGGAAUCUACAGGCCAGCAUGUAGCAGGGAGGCGAUCGAGGUGAGCGAAGGACCGAAUAAUGGAAUGGAAAAGAGACCGAUCAUCAAUUACAACUAGACACUUGUCUUCAGCGCAGAUCAUCUUUGCUGCUAAAGAAGGAAAGAAAAGACAGCAGAAGAGAAUAGAAAUGGACUGUAAGAGUAUAUAGAAGAAUAACAUCAUCAGUUGAUAGUUACAAGCAGGUAUAUAGCCAGCUAAGUGAACAUCAGACCAAUUUAAGGAGCCAUCUUCCAGCAUUUCUAUGCAGUGGGCAGAUCAGAGAAUGCAGGUUGCGUCUCUUGAUGAUUCAUGAGUUGAUUGAUAAUGCCAUCUUCCAGACCAGGUUGAGAAAGAGGGGCAUAUAUAACUGAGCCCAAGUGGUGAUGGAGAGAUUCCGCGAGAGCAGGGCGGUACAUCAAGUCCCUGUCAGAAAUAAUUGAUAAGCAAAAAAACUAUUUACCAGCAUUGCGGAUUGAAAGAAACAAAGAGGGAUGUUCGAUCCGUACCAGAGAAUCUGUACCGGAAGCAGUAGGAGCAGUUGCAAUGUCGCUGAAGAAAGAAACAAGCAGGAUCGAUCGAUCAUCAAGCAUCGUCGCCGUCAUCAGAAAUGCAGGAGCAAUAAUCAUCUUCAGAAUCUUGGCUGCUACAACAAACAACAACAGAAGAGCAAGAGCAUGUUCAGUUGUGCUAACUGUAUAUAGGACGUCAUCAGUUCAGUAGAUUAUUACCUACUGCUACUGAACAAAAGAGAAAUUAGGUACUGACCUGUCGCUCCUCGUCGUCACAGCCACCGCCUGCGAUGAGGAGCUCUCUCCAACUGCUGCUGGGUCGGCAUGGAGAGAUGAUUCCUCCCCCUCCAUCGCUUCGUCCGCUUGUACUGCAGUAUUGGAUCGUUGGACUACAUCAUCCAGGUCGUGGUGGUUCCCGUCGCUCUGCAGUCGCAGAGCGGGAUGGUUGGGAUGUGCCUCCACUUCACGUUGCAGCGCACCAAGCCUUGCCACUUUACCAUACGAACAAAAUGAAAUCUCCUUGAGAUUUGGAAGGUGUUUGAUGCCAGUAAUCCCCGAAGACAAUCUGCAGUGACGGAUUUCUAUCUUUUCCAAUAGGGGCGAGGUGCCCACCUCAAAUGUCAACUCCGUCAGUUGCGUCAGGCCCGAAAUAGCAAGUCUCCUGAGACUUAGGAAUGUUUCUGCUCUAAAAAACAGUUUCUCCCCAACAUAAGAUUUCCAACCAAGAUCAAGCAGCAUGAGCUUAGGCAGUGCGCCCAGUGUUUUCAUGCUUUCACCACCUUCUGUCAGAUUGCUACACCAUAAGCCAAUCUUCACCAAAUGUAUCAGAUCCCCAAACCAGAUAGGCAUCUCCUCAAGAUCUCCAUCCAAAGCCAGCUUCCUCAGGAGAGGGGGAGGGGAGGAAACAGACUGCAACCACUUAAGUGAUGCAUUGCUUCUCCCAGAUAUACCAUCAUCCACACGGAGACAAAGAGAUGUGAGGGAAGUGAGCUUCUCAAGGGAUGUACAGAGUAUUUUGCUCUUCUGCUUGCUUGCCCCUACUGUGACACUUAACUUUCUUAGCUUUAUAAGCUCCCCGAGCUCUUUCACUGCUUUCCUGCUAGUCCGUUCAGUAUCCACAAUCUCUAGUAUCUCUAACUCCUUUAGGUUGCUGAUCCCUUUGGGCACCCUCACACC
rnacentral:lncRNA from 1 species